rnacentral:rRNA from 1 species
GAUGAACGCUGGCGGCGUGCCUAAUACAUGCAAGUCGAGCGAACGGACGAGAAGCUUGCUUCUCUGAUGUUAGCGGCGGACGGGUGAGUAACACGUGGAUAACCUACCUAUAAGACUGGGAUAACUUCGGGAAACCGGAGCUAAUACCGGAUAAUAUUUUGAACCGCAUGGUUCAGAAGUGAAAGACGGUCUUGCUGUCACUUAUAGAUGGAUCCGCGCUGCAUUAGCUAGUUGGUAAGGUAACGGCUUACCAAGGCAACGAUGCAUAGCCGACGUGAGAGGGUGAUCGGCCACAUUGGAACGGGACCAGGGUCCAGACGCCUACGGGAGGCAGCAGUAGGGAAUCUUCCGCAAUGGGCGAAAGCCUGACGGAGCAACGCCGCGUGAGUGAUGAAGGUCUUCGGAUCGUAAAACUCUGUUAUUAGGGAAGAACAUAUGUGUAAGUAACUGUGCACAUCUUGACGGUACCUAAUCAGAAAGCCACGGCUAACUACGUG